GAACUAUACAGUUUUAUGUAUCAUUAAAUUUUUAGUUUGUCACGUGAAACUAUGUAUUAUUCAAGAAAAGAAUCACUUGAUCAAACUUUGGGCAAAGCAACACAAAUUAGAAAUGUUUGCUGAUAAUUUAGUAAAAUCUUACACAAUGAUGCAUGUGACAAAUACUAGAUUUGAGUAGGGAUAGCAAUUCCUACAUUAAAACGAUAACACGGCACGAAGUUAACAGGUUUCGUGUCUAUAACAGGUCGACACGUUAAGAUCUGUUAAUGACACGUUUAUAAUUUUAAACAAAAAAAAUGUGGGGCUCCUAAUUUUAAAUAAAAGAAUACCGGGAAGUAAAGUUUAUAUAUUUAAUAACAUGUCGUCCGUGUCUUCACAAGUUGUAUGAUACGCUGGUUCGGGUUCGGGUUUGAAAAAUCUGACACAAUAAGAUUUUGUUUCGGUUUCGUGUCUUAACAGGUCAGGUUGACAAUUGACACGAUAUGCCAGCCCUAGAUUUGAGAACAAAACUUACAGAAUUAUGCAUAUGUAUUAUGCUGAAAUUGAUGAGAGAAACAUGAGGCAUGCUAAUGCAUUAUAAUCUGA
rnacentral:lncRNA from 1 species